UCGCUGCAAUACUGCGAGUGGCCACUGGGAAAAAUUGGCUGCAAGGCUGAGGGGCGGCGCCCUAUCCAGCUCUUAGGGCCUUUCUCAAUCUGCAUUCCUCUCUGUUCUUGUGAAACGUCAUCAGUCGCAGCCCAAGUACUGUCCCAAUACACAAGUUCGCAUUUCCCCAAGACGGUUAAAAUCCCCGGAAGUGUUCUUGACACGCCCCUAUUAACGAGGAUGCAUCGGUUGUUAACUUGUAUGAACUUGUCAACACAAAUAUCCCAGCAUUCCUUUCGGCAUCCAAGGGCAGCAAGAAAGCGGCAGAGAGAGAGGCGAACAGCGGGACAUCUGAGGAAACCAGAUCGCUAAUCGAAUGGCGAGCGGCAAACGAAAGCCUUUUCACAGGUCAGAGGAAUUCCCCCAAAAACGGAUGGGAAGUAUUUGUGAACAAGUCAGGCUUGGCUAUCACAGCCAAACAGGCCAUGAAGAAAUGGUAAAAUCUAAAGGAGAAAUACAAGACAUGCAGGCAGCUCUCGAGGGGCAGACACCUGUGCAUCAAGUCUGGCACGCGGGUUAUUUCCUGAGAGCUCCUGAUCAUCAUCAGGAACGUUCCCUUGACCUUCUUCAUCCUCCUCAUGACGUUCCUCCUCCUCCUCCAAGAUGUCGCCGGUUGACAGACAGAGGUUGUGGAGGAUGCAGCAUGCUGCUAUGACUUUAGGGGCGGAAUUUCAAAAGCUCUCAAAAAAAUGGCUCGCCAGCGGGUUUUAAGUAUGCCAAAGUACGCUCAAUGACGCUCCUGGCCUUGGCAUGGUGCUUGUUGAAGCAUGCUUCAACUUGGCCUGAUGAGUAAAAUACAGGCAUGGGUACCCCCUGUCUCCAAGAAGAAAGAAGCCAGCCGGUGGAUAGAGGGACUCCGUGUACAUCCGAGAUCUCCGGAGGACAAGGGCGUCAUGGACUGACCCUGUGUUGCCGAUCAGGUGGUAGGAUUUUGACGUGGCACCCAUCUAUUGCACCAGCCACACGGCAGAAUGCCUCAUGACCAGCCAGACGAGCAAAGCCUUCCCC